UCUCUAUAUCAAAAAAGUUGCUUUUCAUGAAGUUCAAGAUGUUAGAUUGGUAAGUUCCCUUUCAGCUACGGCAACAAUGAAGUCUUGGAAGGAACAACACAGUGAUAAAUCUCUAGGAAGACUCAGAUUUAAUCAUUUCCUGUGAAAUUCUAUUGUAGCGUUGAUUAUUCAAAACGACGAUGAGAGACCACUUUAUCCUUACCCUUUCAUUAUCUCAUGGAAUAUAUAUAUAUUUGUUCACUGAAUUGAGCAAACAAUUCUCAAUUAGUAGUGCACUCCACCUUUGGUUGAACUGAGCUUGCCUCUCAUUCUUUUCUUGCCAUGGCUGUGCUUUUAAUAGUUUGUUCGAGGGGGAAUUGAUUAUCUAUACUCUUUGGGAUUAUACAUAGUUUUGCGGAGCAGGAGACAUGAAAACUUAUCUAUAUUACACCAAUCUUUCUGUUUGGCACUGGCAUGCAAAAAAACACAGCUUUCUUCUUCACGCUAAACCCUUAGUUUGGUAAAAUUUGGCUCCAUUCUUAUGAACUCGUCUUUUUCUACUAGCAGUCUUAAGCCAAACCUUCCAUCUGUAAGACAAUGUCAUCCCCUGAACCUACGCAUAGAAAUUAG
rnacentral:lncRNA from 1 species